UGCAAGUCGAACGAGAAAGUGGGGCAACCCAUGAGUACAGUGGCGUACGGGUGAGUAACAUGUGGAUGAUCUACCCUCUAGUGGGGAAUAACCCAGGGAAACCGGGGCUAAUACCGCAUAAGCACGGGAGUGGAAAGCAGCAAUGCGCUGGAGGAGGAGUCCGCGGCCGAUUAGCUAGUUGGCAGGGUAAAAGCCUACCAAGGCAAAGAUCGGUAGCCGGCCUGAGAGGGCACACGGCCACACUGGCACUGAAACACGGGCCAGACUCCUACGGGAGGCAGCAGUGGGGAAUCUUGCACAAUGGGGGAAACCCUGAUGCAGCGACGCCGCGUGAGCGAUGAAGCCCUUCGGGGUGUAAAGCUCUUUCGGCAGGGAAGAUGAUGACGGUACCUGCAGAAGCAGCUGCGGCUAACUACGUGCCAGCAGCCGCGGUAAUACGUAGGCAGCAAGCGUUGUUCGGAGUUACUGGGCGUAAAGGGUGUGUAGGCGGUUGUUUAAGUUUGGUGUGAAAUCUCCCGGCUCAACUGGGAGGGUGCGCCGAAUACUGAAUGACUCGAGUGCGGGAGAGGAGAGUGGAAUUCCUGGUGUAGCGGUGAAAUGCGUAGAUAUCAGGAGGAACACCGGUGGUGUAGACGGCUCUCUGGACCGUAACUGACGCUGAGACACGAAAGCGUGGGUAGCAAACAGGAUUAGAUACCCUGGUAGUCCACGCCCUAAACGAUGCAUAUUUGGUGUGGGCAGUUCAUUCUGUCCGUGCCGGAGCUAACGCGUUAAAUAUGCCGCCUGGGGAGUACAGUCGCAAGGCUGAAACUCAAAGGAAUUGACGGGGGCCCGCACAAGCGGUGGAGCAUGUGGUUCAAUUCGACGCAACGCGAAGAACCUUACCUGGGCUCGAACGGCUGGUCAACGG
rnacentral:rRNA from 1 species